rnacentral:rRNA from 1 species
GAUGAACGCUAGCUAUAGGCUUAACACAUGCAAGUCGAGGGGAAACGGCAUUCUGUGCUUGCACAUUCUGGACGUCGACCGGCGCACGGGUGAGUAUCGCGUAUCCAACCUUCCCUCCACUCGGGGAUACCCCGUUGAAAGACGGCCUAAUACCCGAUGUUGUCCACAUAUGGCAUCUGACGUGGACCAAAGAUUCAUCGGUGGAGGAUGGGGAUGCGUCUGAUUAGCUUGUUGGUGCGGGUAACGGCCCACCAAGGCUACGAUCAGUAGGGGUUCUGAGAGGAAGGUCCCCCACAUUGGAACUGAGACACGGUCCAAACUCCUACGGGAGGCAGCAGUGAGGAAUAUUGGUCAAUGGACGUAAGUCUGAACCAGCCAAGUAGCGUGCAGGAUUGACGGCCCUAUGGGUUGUAAACUGCUUUUGUUGGGGAGUAAAGCGGGGCACGUGUGCCCCUUUGCAUUUACCCUUCGAAUAAGGACCGGCUAAUUCCGUGCCAGCAGCCGCGGUAAUACGGAAGGUCCAGGCGUUAUCCGGAUUUAUUGGGUUUAAAGGGAGUGUAGGCGGUCUGUUAAGCGUGUUGUGAAAUUUAGGUGCUCAACAUCUACCUUGCAGCGCGAACUGGCGGACUUGAGUGCACGCAACGUAUGCGGAAUUCAUGGUGUAGCGGUGAAAUGCUUAGAUAUCAUGACGAACUCCGAUUGCGAAGGCAGCGUACGGGAGUGUUACUGACGCUUAAGCUCGAAGGUGCGGGUAUCGAACAGG